CAGGAGGGGAAGACUACAAGUCCCGGCAUCCACCGCGCCGCCGUGUCCUGUCAAUUGUGUUUAUACAGCGUGCGGUGGACUAUGGACCGGACACAAGGGUCUGUAAUUACGGGCCGCUGGGGGACUACAAGUCUCAGGAUGAGUGACAAGUAAUAUGCCUGUCAAUACAGCUAACCAUGACGGUUCUUACCAAGCUUUCCCAGACUCCUGAAGGGCAUAUCUCCCUAGGACCGGUCAAUCAUCCCAUUUCUUGGCACCGAGCCGCCGCCACCGCCGUCUCCUCUACCCCCCGGCCCUGGAUGAAGUGCGGAGAACACGGACACUUUUUAAUAGAACAAUUCCAUCCCCCAGAAUCCUGAGCGCGGCAGCUGCCAAAAUAAACAGGAGCGGCGCAAACAUCUGGAGAUCAAUGAGCGCACUGUUAUUGUGCGUGCAGGGCGGGCAUCGGACUGGCAGCGCUCCAUGGGCCAACGCUCUGGUAUAUGUAUGUGUGCGCCAAUCCUGAAUGUCUCAUAACCCGUCACCUGCUGGCACUAGAGGGUGGUCUUACUGUGCGGGAGACACGUAUUGUGUGAACGGCACCUCACCUUGAACUACAAUUCCCAGCAUGCCCCCACAUGCGCACAUACGUGUAUGCACACCCUGGGUUUA